AUUGAACGCUGGCGGCAGGCCUAACACAUGCAAGUCGAGCGGAUGAAGGGAGCUUGCUCCUGGAUUCAGCGGCGGACGGGUGAGUAAUGCCUAGGAAUCUGCCUGGUAGUGGGGGAUAACGUCCGGAAACGGGCGCUAAUACCGCAUACGUCCUGAGGGAGAAAGUGGGGGAUCUUCGGACCUCACGCUAUCAGAUGAGCCUAGGUCGGAUUAGCUAGUUGGUGGGGUAAAGGCCUACCAAGGCGACGAUCCGUAACUGGUCUGAGAGGAUGAUCAGUCACACUGGAACUGAGACACGGUCCAGACUCCUACGGGAGGCAGCAGUGGGGAAUAUUGGACAAUGGGCGAAAGCCUGAUCCAGCCAUGCCGCGUGCGUGAAGAAGGUCUUCGGAUUGCAAAGCACUUUAAGUUGGGAGGAAGGGCAGUAAGUUAAUACCUUGCUGUUUUGACGUUACCAACAGAAUAAGCACCGGCUAACUUCGUG
rnacentral:rRNA from 1 species